CGAGGGGUAUGCUUCUUCGGAAGCAGAGACCGGCGCACGGGUGCGUAACGCGUAUGCAAUCUACCUUUCACAGAGGGAUAGCCCAGAGAAAUUUGGAUUAAUACCUCAUAGUAUAGCAGUUUCGCAUGAAACCACUAUUAAAGUCACAACGGUGAAAGAUGAGCAUGCGUCCCAUUAGCUAGUUGGUAAGGUAACGGCUUACCAAGGCAACGAUGGGUAGGGGUCCUGAGAGGGAGAUCCCCCACACUGGUACUGAGACACGGACCAGACUCCUACGGGAGGCAGCAGUGAGGAAUAUUGGACAAUGGGCGCAAGCCUGAUCCAGCCAUGCCGCGUGCAGGAUGACGGUCCUAUGGAUUGUAAACUGCUUUUAUACGAGAAGAAACCCUCCGACGUGUCGGAGCUUGACGGUAUCGUAAGAAUAAGGAUCGGCUAACUCCGUGCCAGCAGCCGCGGUAAUACGGAGGAUCCAAGCGUUAUCCGGAAUCAUUGGGUUUAAAGGGUCCGUAGGCGGUCAGGUAAGUCAGUGGUGAAAGCCCAUCGCUCAACGGUGGAACGGCCAUUGAUACUGUCUGACUUGAAUUAUUAGGAAGUAACUAGAAUAUGUAGUGUAGCGGUGAAAUGCUUAGAGAUUACAUGGAAUACCAAUUGCGAAGGCAGGUUACUACUAAUGGAUUGACGCUGAUGGACGAAAGCGUGGGUAGCGAACAGGAUUAGAUACCCUGGUAGUCCACGCCG
rnacentral:rRNA from 1 species